GGGAAGGUGGCUCAGUGGUAGAGCGCUUGCCUUGCAUGCAUGAGGCCCUGGGUUCAAUCCCUCAGCAUCCCA
rfam:Dipodomys ordii contig_36965, whole genome shotgun sequence.